rnacentral:rRNA from 1 species
GAUUCUUGCUAAAGUUGUCAGCUAAGUGGCGCACGGGUGAGUAAUGUAUAGGUAAUAUGCCUCUUACUAAGGGAUAACAAAUGGAAACGUUUGCUAAUACCUUAUACUCCUUAUUAACAUAAGUUAAUAAGGGAAAGAUUUAUUGGUAAGAGAUUAGCCUGUAUUGUAUCAGUUAGUUGGUGGGGUAAUGGCUUACCAAGACUAUGACACAUAACUGGUUUGAGAGGAUGAUCAGUCACACUGGAACUGAGACACGGUCCAGACUCCUACGGGAGGCAGCAGUGGGGAAUAUUGCACAAUGGACGGAAGUCUGAUGCAGCAACGCCGCGUGGAGGAUGACACAUUUCGGUGCGUAAACUCCUUUUAUAUGAGAAGAUAAUGACGGUAUUAUAUGAAUAAGCACCGGCUAACUCCGUGCCAGCAGCCGCGGUAAUACGGGGGGUGCAAGCGUUACUCGGAAUCACUGGGCGUAAAGAGCAUGUAGGCGGAUUAAUAAGUUUGAAGUGAAAUCCUAUAGCUUAACUAUAGAACUGCUUUGAAAACUGUUAAUCUAGAAUGUGGGAGAGGUAGAUGGAAUUU